CAGCAGUCCGCCAUUGUGAAGGCCUUGUUGGCUCUUGCAGACGAGGAAGAAUCCAUGUAAACAAACAGAAGUGUGGACCAUCUGAAACCACGUCGAGAUGAUGACGACUGUCAGCAGACGAACUCUUGACCACAUUUAUUCUGCGGUGCUACUGGGCGUGGUGGUGUUGUCUUGGUCCUACGUGAUCUACGCCAGCAGGAUUGCUGCUCACUGGCUGUUGGAAGAGAGGAUCACUUCAGUGCAGCAGGACUGACAGCUAGAAUGGUACUCUUUUGGUCGUCGCGCCGCUCAACAUGACGAAGUCGCGGCGCUCAACAUGACGAACCCCGACACAUGACGCACAGCAGGAGGAGGAGGAAAGAACUUUUGCUCGACUUCCUUCAUUUCUAUUUCCUUGUUCGACUCCCUGUUCAUUUUGCCAACGUUCAUUUAUUUAUUUAUUCCUUACUGUCACUGUGAUGGUUAGGCCUUUGUGUUGGCGUCUUGCUGACAGUCUGACAUGUUCAAACACAGACGGUUCACUUCGCUCUUUUUGUUUUAGUAGUUUCAUUGAGCAGUUGCAGUCAAUGCUUUUAAGUGACGCUUUCAUUUGUUCUUCGCAGCUUUUUGUUGAUGGUCAUCGUUUACAAAAUGUAUUCAAUGAUUUAUUUAAAAAAGCAUUUGUCAUUUUCCUGUGUUCCUAACAUUCACGUUGUAUUUCUCUUGAUGUUUUUUGUCAUUUAUUUAAACUGUCAGUCACUUUUGUAUUGUGGAAAUUUAAAUAUGAAUAAAUGCUGUAUUUUAUAGCACUGUAAAUCUAUCUUUCCAUGAAAGGAAAGCUCAAUUAAUUUUUUUUUAAAUAAAAUACAAGCCCUUAUUUUUUUGUUCCUUCA